ensembl:snRNA U1 U1 spliceosomal RNA
UCACUUACUUGGCAGGGGAGAUUCCAUGCUCAAGUAUGUGGUCUUCCCAGGCUCUACCACUACACUUUUGUAGAGCUGACUCCUGCGAAUUCCGCAAAUGUGGGAGUAUUGACUGCAUCAAAUCUGAUAGUGGUGGAGUGUGUAAUGGGGCAGUGGUAGCCU